rnacentral:snoRNA from 1 species
AACCCAUGGUGAGGACACCUUCUUAAUAGAGUCUUGUAUCUCUCUCAUGCAGCAUAGAGUGUUUCUAGAUCCAUCUGCACAAAAUAAGAGAUAUCAUUCCUCAACUU